rnacentral:rRNA from 1 species
CCUACGGUGGGCUGCAGUGAGGAAUAUUGGUCAAUGGGCGGAAGCCUGAACCAGCCAAGUCGCGUGAGGGAUUAAGGCCCUAUGGGUCGUAAACCUCUUUUGUCAGGGAGCAAGGUCGUCCACGUGGGGGCGUAUGGAGAGUACCUGAAGAAAAAGCAUCGGCUAACUCCGUGCCAGCAGCCGCGGUAAUACGGGGGAUGCGAGCGUUAUCCGGAUUUAUUGGGUUGAAGGGGUGCGUAGGCGGGACCUUAAGUCAGCGGUAAAAUUGCGGUGCUCAACGCCGUAGAGCCGUUGAAACUGGGGCUCUUGAGUGAGCGAGAAGUAUGCGGAAUGCGUGGUGUAGCGGUGAAAUGCAUAGAUAUCACGCAGAACCCCGAUUGCGAAGGCAGCAUACCGGCGCCCAACUGACGCUGAAGCACGAAGGCGUGGGUAUCGAACAGGAUUAGAUACCCCGGUAGUC